rnacentral:rRNA from 1 species
UACGUAGGGGGCAAGCGUUGUCCGGAUUUAUUGGGCGUAAAGAGCGUGUAGGCGGUCUGGUAGGUCCGUUGUGAAAACUCGAGGCUCAACCUCGAGACGCCGAUGGAAACCCUCAGACUAGAGUCCGGAAGAGGAGAGUGGAAUUCCUGGUGUAGCGGUGAAAUGCGCAGAUAUCAGGAGGAACACCGGUGGCGAAGGCGGGUCUCUGGGCAAUAACUGACGCUGAGGAGCGAAAGCGUGGGGAGCGAACAGG